GACGUAGGUGGCGAACGUUAUCCGGAAUUACUGGGCGUAAAGCGUGCGCAGGCGGUUAUAUAAGACAGUUGUGAAAUCCCCGGGCUCAACCUGGGAACUGCACCUGUGACUGUAUAGCUAGAGUACGGUAGAGGGGGAUGGAAUUCCGCGUGUAGCAGUGAAGUGCGUAGAUAUGCGGAGGAACACCGAUGGCGAAGGCAAUCCCCUGGACCUGUACUGACGCUCAUGCACGAAAGCGUGGGGAGCAAACAGG
rnacentral:rRNA from 1 species